rnacentral:misc_RNA from 1 species
UUUCACCGUCUCUUUUGUGCACAUUACUGAUAGUACAACAAACCACUCCAGUCCUCUCUCUGUCUGCAAAAACUAACCCCUUUUGCUGAAAUCACUCUAUUUAUCUUCUUCUAGUAGGUUUAAAGAUGUCGGCGGUGGUUCAGCUUCGCUGCUCUUCACUUCCAGCCCACUAUCACUAUCAAACUCUUUACUUUUCUGCUGUCAAACCCUCAUUUUCAGACAACAGCUGCGUCAGAAAUCUCAGCUUUAACCCAUUAACUACCAGCCAUGUGGGUUCUAAACAAUUGCUUAUUAAGUAUCAAGUUCCUUGUGCUGGGUGGGGUGGUGGUGAUGGAGGAAGCAUUGGCAUUG